rnacentral:tRNA from 1 species
GCGUCACUUGGAACAUUUAGGUGAGAUGACUUUUAAUCAUGUGGCCGUGGGUUCGAAUCCCACCCGGAUCACCA